rnacentral:rRNA from 1 species
UACGUAGGGCGCAAGCGUUAUCCGGAAUUAUUGGGCGUAAAGAGCUCGUAGGCGGCUUGUCGCGUCGACCGUGAAAACUUGGGGCUCAACCCCAAGCCUGCGGUCGAUACGGGCAGGCUAGAGUUCGGUAGGGGAGACUGGAAUUCCUGGUGUAGCGGUGAAAUGCGCAGAUAUCAGGAGGAACACCGGUGGCGAAGGCGGAUCUCUGGGCCAUUACUGACGCUGAGGAGCGAAAGCGUGGGGAGCGAACAGG